CAGUAGCCACGGGAAUACGAAGGGUGCAAGCGUUAAUCGGAAUUACUGGGCGUAAAGCGCGCGUAGGUGGUUUGGUAAGAUGGAUGUGAAAUCCCCGGGCUCAACCUGGGAACUGCAUCCAUAACUGCCUGACUAGAGUACGGUAGAGGGUGGUGGAAUUUCCUGUGUAGCGGUGAAAUGCGUAGAUAUAGGAAGGAACACCAGUGGCGAAGGCGACCACCUGGACUGAUACUGACACUGAGGUGCGAAAGCGUGGGGAGCAAACAGGAUUAGAUACCCGAGUAGUCCCUGUCUCUUAUAC
rnacentral:rRNA from 1 species